GUUUGAUCCUGGCUCAGAACGAACGCUGGCGGCAGGCUUAACACAUGCAAGUCGAACGCCCCGCAAGGGGAGUGGCAGACGGGUGAGUAACGCGUGGGAACAUACCCUUUCCUGCGGAAUAGCUCCGGGAAACUGGAAUUAAUACCGCAUAGCGCUACGGGGGAAAGAUUUAUCGGGGAAGGAUUGGCCCGCGUUGGAUUAGCUAGUUGGUGGGGUAAAGGCCUACCAAGGCGACGAUCCAUAGCUGGUCUGAGAGGAUGAUCAGCCACAUUGGGACUGAGACACGGCCCAAACUCCUACGGGAGGCAGCAGUGGGGAAUAUUGGACAAUGGGCGCAAGCCUGAUCCAGCCAUGCCGCGUGAGUGAUGAAGGCCUUAGGGUUGUAAAGCUCUUUCACCGGAGAAGAUAAUGACGGUAUCCGGAGAAGAAGCCCCGGCUAACUUCGUGCCAGCAGCCGCGGUAAUACGAAGGGGGCUGCGUUGUUCGGAAUUAUGGGCGUAAAGCGCACGUAGGCGGAUAUUUAAGUCAGGGGUGAAAUCCCGAGCUCAAGCUCUGGAACUGCCUUUGAGUAGNUGGGUGAUCUUGAGUAUGGAAGAGGUAAGUGGAA
rnacentral:rRNA from 1 species